AAACAGGUUAAUAUUCCUGUACUUGGUGUUACUGCGAAGGGGGGACGGAGAAGGCUAUGUUAGCCGGGCGACGGUUGUCCCGGUUUAAGCAUGUAGGCGGAGGUUCCAGGUAAAUCCGGUACCUUUUAACGCUGAGGUGUGAUGACGAGGCACUACGGUGCUGAAGUAACAAAUGCCCUGCUUCCAGGAAAAGCCUCUAAGCAUCAGGUAACAUGAAAUCGUACCCCAAACCGACACAGGUGGUCAGGUAGAGAAUACCAAGGCGCUUGAGAGAACUCGGGUGAAGGAACUAGGCAAAAUGGUGCCGUAACUUCGGGAGAAGGCACGCUGAUAUGUAGGUG
rnacentral:rRNA from 1 species